GCAGACACAUUCCAGCCAAUCGGCAGCAGACCCUCCCUCCCAGACCCUCCCACUUCCUGGACAGCAUCCAUUUUACAUUCAUUGUGAAGCUGCAUUCUUAGUGAGCUGUCCAGGAGGUGGGAGGGUCUGGGAAGGAGGGUCUGCUGCUGAUUGGCUGGAAUGUGUCUG